GAUGAAGAACGCAGCGAAAUGCGAUACGUAAUGUGAAUUGCAGAAUUCCAGUGAGUCAUCGAAUCUUUGAACGCACAUUGCGCCCCCUGGUAUUCCGGGGGGCAUGCCUGUCCGAGCGUCAUUACAACCCUCAAGCUCAGCUUGGUGUUGGGCCCCGCCGCCCCGGCGGGCCCUAAAGUCAGUGGCGGUGCCGUCCGGCUCCGAGCGUAGUAAUUCUUCUCGCUCUGGAGGUCCGGUCGUGUGCUCGCCAGCAACCCCCAAUUUUUUUCAGGUUGACCUCGGAUCAGGUAGGGAUACCCGCUGAACUUAAGCAUAUCAAUAAGCGGAGGA
rnacentral:misc_RNA from 1 species